rnacentral:rRNA from 1 species
AGCGAACGCUGGCGGCGUGCCUAACACAUGCAAGUCGAACGUGAAAGGGAGCAAUCCCAAGUAAAGUGGCGUACGGGUGAGUAACACGUAGGUAAUCUACCCCAGAAUCUGGAAUAACCGGCCGAAAGGCUGGCUAAUACUCGAUAGAGCGUCGGAAUCCGGAAUUGGGUUUUUCGGGAAAGGGAGCCUGUAAAAAGGCCUUCGUUCUGGGAUGGGCCUGCGUCCCAUCAGCUAGUUGGUGGGGUAAAAGCUUACCAAGGCCAUGGCGGGUAGCUGGUCUGAGAGGACGGUCAGCCGAACUGGAACUGGGACACGGUCCAGACUCCUGCGGGCGGCAGCAGUCGGGAAUCUUGCGCAAUGGACGAAAGUCUGACGCAGCAACGCCGCGUGAGUGGAGAAGGACUUCGGGUUGUGAAGCUCUGUCGAGUGGGACGAACAUGCUUGGAGUUCACAGCUCCAGGAACUGACGGUACCAGUAGAGGAAGCACCGGCUAACUCCGUG